AGGAAGAUUUGGCCAAAGGUAGUAGAAAGUGAUCAGAAGAUGAAUAACUGCGAAUCAACUAACCCAUUAAAGAUAAAUAAAUCUGUUGUGAUGGAGUUCUCAAAACAUUGAAACACGCUGUCUGAAGGCUGUGUAUGGAGUACCUGCAUGGAGAAGGAGGUAGGAAAGAGUGAAACUGUAAAGGCACCCUACAAGCUGGAUCCUUCAACAUUUCAACGUGAACUCCUGGGACUGCUUCUCUAAUUUGUAAAAUGUGCAGAGGCCAUCUCAGGAUCAGGAUCAUAGUGCCUUGUCAGCAGCCUGUGGUGGUCCUGCAAGGAAUUACAUGUUACUGAAGGAGGUUUCUUCCCUCUCUUUGCUGU